rnacentral:rRNA from 1 species
UACAGAGGGCAGCCAAGUCGUGAGGCGGAGCUAAUCCCUUAAAGCCAUUCUCAGUUCGGAUUGUAGGCUGAAACUCGCCUACACGAAGCUGGAGUUACUAGUAAUCGCAGAUCAGAAUGCUGCGGUGAAUGCGUUCCCGGGUCUUGUACACACCGCCCGUCACACCACGGAAGUUGGGGGCGCCCGAAGCCACUUAGCUAACCCUUUUGGGAAGCGAGUGUCGAAGGUGAAAUCAAUAACUGGGGUGAAGUCGUAACAAGGUAGC